UCCUCCUGUUCUUUUUGCGGAUACAGACUAACACGGCUGCUACUCUUGUGACCCGUGAACUGACCCUCUCAGAGGUAAUAGUCAUAAUUGGCCAGGUGAAAACUCAGCACCGCCCUGUGGUUGAUAGUUAGCCGCCCGCCUCCCUGGGAUAUUCGUCACUAGCUCAGCAAGGGUGGGGCGGGGUUUCUCCGAGUGGUAAUUUAAAUGAGGCGGGGCUAUGUAAAUUAUCCCCGUGCAAUGACUCUCUUUCCGGGCUGUUUCUACCCGCCCCUGACUCUGCGGCUCGCGGAGAAGCUCUGUCCCUGCAGGGAGCAGCUCCGGACCCAUCCCCAGGGCGACGACUGGCCGCAGACGUGCAGAGACGAUGCGGUGGUGGCUCCAUUUUGCUUUCAUCGCAGCAGCGUCCAAAGGGGCCGAGGCGCAGGGGCGGCUGGUGGAGUCCGGCGGCGGGGCUGCGACCACCGGCGGCUCCAGGCGGCUCUCCUGCACAGGCUCCGGAUUCACUUUCAGCAGCUACACCAUGUUCUGGUACCGGCAGCGCCCCGGGAAGGGGCUGGAAUGGGUCUCCUGGAUCAGCGGCCCUGGUGGGAGCAAAGAUUACACUAACUCCGUGAAAGGGCGAUUCACCGUCUCCAGGGACAACGCCAAGAGCCAGCUGUAUCUGCAAAUGAGCCGCCUGGGACCCGAGGACACCGCCCGGUAUCACUGCGCUGCUAGAGACACAGUGAGGGGAAGCCGGCCUGAGCUCUGACAAAAACUCUCUGCGUUCAGCUCAGGGGAUUCGGGAGCGCCCCAUGACUAGCAUCACGCCCUGAACUCCGGUGUCCCUCACCCACAACUCAUAGCCCACUGCUCACCCACUCACUCACUGCAGCUCCUUAGUGGCGUCCUUGUCCAGAGUAGUGCGUUCUCGGGGUGCAAGGUGUGUGUCUGUGCCCGGAGGGACAGGAGCUGUUCUCAGAGCACAGGGAUAUACACACAGACAGCCGGGGGUGAGAGCAGAGAACUGACCUGAACUCUGCUGGGUUCACCAGCAAACCUGCGGGCAUCUACUAAGCCGGGCUGCUGCAGGAAUUCUUUCACAGCGCAUCGUGAGAAAACGUGUCUGUCCUUCCUUAGCACUUGGGUGGAAGGGCUGUUCCUCCAGCAACACGUUCCAAGGAAAGGGCUCCAGAUUUUUGUACACAACUAGUAGCGUGGUGGGGAGUCUACUCCAAGAGAGGACCUAUCCCAACUGUUGGCUCUCUUGCUACCCAGGCUGGAAAGAAAAUGCCCAGUUCCGACUUGAAUUACACCAAGGACCCAAUGGGAGCGCUCACUAGUCACUGCGGGCAGAACUGGCAACUGGCAACCCCGGAUCGGUGGUAAUGAGCCUGAUUGAAAACAGAAGCGCCUCUACACGAGAGAUUCGUUUCUGCGGCAGGGAAAUUAUCCCUGGAUUUCCACACUGAUCCUCUUCAGGGUAAGUGUAUCUGGUAACGAUGAACCGCUACACAAAGGCAGGGGUUGACUGGUCUUCCCCCCAGGGGUUGGCUGGUCUUCCCUUAAAGAAGGGAGCAUAUGCAAAUGGAAUAACAACAUUUCCUGUCACACACACGCUCUGUCCCUGA